CCUACGGGGGGCAGCAGUGGGGAAUAUUGGGCAAUGGGCGCAAGCCUGACCCAGCAACGCCGCGUGAAGGAAGAAGGCUUUCGGGUUGUAAACUUCUUUUACGAGGGAAGAGCAGAAGACGGUACCUGAGGAAUAAGCCACGGCUAACUACGUGCCAGCAGCCGCGGUAAUACGUAGGUGGCAAGCGUUAUCCGGAUUUACUGGGUGUAAAGGACGUGUAGGCGGGAAAGCAAGUCAGAUGUGAAAACCACGG
rnacentral:rRNA from 1 species